rnacentral:tRNA from 1 species
UCGUUGUUAAUAACUAUACAUGACACAUGCCAGGCUCUCUCUUUCCGGGACCU